rnacentral:rRNA from 1 species
GUAGGUGGCAAGCGUUGUCCGGAAUUAUUGGGCGUAAAGCGCGCGCAGGCGGUUCUUUAAGUCUGAUGUGAAAGCCCACGGCUCAACCGUGGAGGGUCAUUGGAAACUGGAGAACUUGAGUACAGAAGAGGAAAGCGGAAUUCCACGUGUAGCGGUGAAAUGCGUAGAGAUGUGGAGGAACACCAGUGGCGAAGGCGGCUCUCUGGUCUGUAACUGACGCUGAGGCGCGAAAGCGUGGGGGUAGCAAACAGGAUUAGAUACCCUGGUAGUCCACGCCGUAAACGAUGAGUGCUAAGUGUUAGGGGGUUUCCGCCCCCCCCUUAGUGCUGCAGCUAACGCAUUAAGCACUCCGCCUGGGGAGUACGGCCGCAAGGCUG